AAACCUGAGAAACCCAAAAGUUCGAAUGGAGAGAUUCAUCGUCAGCGAUCCUGGCAAUUUUGCGGUUCGCGAUGCCGGGGCUUCGGCCCCGUGGCACGCGUCCGUAUAAUUUGUUUGCUAGGUGUCGUCGUCGUGCACUUCUCCCCUAGUAGGACGUCGCGACCCGUUGGGCGCGCCGGUCUACGACCCGGGUGGGCGCCCGACAUAUGUUACGCUUCACGGCGUCGUGUGUCGGACCCCCGGUUGUCUGACCAGCUGCCCGGCGGUACUCGCACGGUAUCGAGUCGCAAUUGAACUGCGUCCGGCCCACCGCAAGCGAGGCCAGUGUUUCCCAGAUGUACGGACUUAGCGCCGUCGCCGGGCCUGGCCAGCUGUUUGCCGGCGGUGUCCUGGGACUGACUCUAACAUACCGGUCGGCGACGCUACUGCUUUGGGUACUUUCAGGACCCGUCUUGAAACACGGACCAAGGAGUCUAACAUGUGCGCGAGUCAUUGGGAGCUAUUAAGCCUAAAGGCGUAAUGAAAGUGAAGGUGGGCCUUGCGCCAACCGAGGGAGGAUGGGCCGUGUCACAAUGCGGUCCCGCACUCCCGGGGCGUCUCGUUCUCAU
rnacentral:rRNA from 1 species